GGGUGAGUCUGUACACGAGGCAAUCAGGGUGAGUCUACACGAGGCAAUCAGGGUGAGUCUGUACACGAGGGCGGUCGGGUGAGUCUGUACACGAGGCGCGUCGGGGUGAGUCUGUACACGAGGCAAUCAGGGUGAGUCUGUACACGAGGCAAUCAGGGUGAGUCUGUACACGAGGCGCGGUCGGGGUGAGUCUGUACACGAGGCAAUCGGGGUGAGUCUGUACACGAGGCGCGGUCGGGGUGAGUCUGCACACGAGGCGCAAUCGGGGUGAGUCUGCACACGAGGCGCGGUCGGGGUGAGUCUGCACACGAGGCGCAAUCGGGGUGAGUCUGCACACGAGGCGCGGGGGACGGGCGGUCGGGGUGAGUCUGCACACGAGGCGCGGUCGGGGUGAGUCUGCACACGAGGCGCGGUCGGGGUGAGUCUGCACACGAGACGAGGCGCUCGGAGACAGAGCAGUGCUGCGUUUGGACUUUACUUACAACUUGACUUUCAAUCUGUCAAAGCUAAAA
rnacentral:lncRNA from 1 species